rnacentral:rRNA from 1 species
GAUGAACGCUGGCGGCGUGCUUAACACAUGCAAGUCGAACGGAAAGGCCUCUGCUUGCAGGGGUCCUCGAUUGGCGAACGGGUGAGUAACACGUGUGUGAUCUGCCCUGCACUUCGUGAUAAGCCUGGGAAACUGGGUCUAAUACCGGAUAGGACAUUGGUUUGGAUGUUGUUGUGGAAAGUUUUUCGGUGUGGGAUGAGCUCGCGGCCUAUCAGCUUGUUGGUGGGGUAAUGGCCUACCAAGGCGUCUACGGGUAGCCGGCCUGAGAGGGUGUACGGCCACAUGGGACAGGAGAUACGGGCCACACUCCUGAGGGAGGCAGCAGUGGGGAAUAUUGAACAAUGGGCGAAAGCCUGAUGCAGCGACGCCGCGUGGGGGAUGACGGCUUUCGGGUUGUAAACUCCUAUGGCUAGGGACGAAGCGAUUUUGUGACGGUACCUGGAGAAGAAGCCCCGGCUAACUACGUG